rnacentral:rRNA from 1 species
ACGUAGGUGACAAGCGUUGUCCGGAUUUACUGGGCGUAAAGAGCGCGCAGGCGGUCGAUCAAGUCGAGUGUGAAAGCCCCCGGCUCAACUGGGGAGGGUCAUUCGAAACUGGUCGACUCGAAGGCAGGAGAGGGUAGUGGAAUUCCCGGUGUAGUGGUGAAAUGCGUAGAUAUCAGGAGGAACACCAGUGGCGAAGGCGACUACCUGGCCUGUUCUUGACGCUGAGGCGCGAAAGCUAGGGGAGCAAACGGGAUUAGAUACCCCGGUAGUCCUAGCCGUAAACGAUGGACACUAGGUGUUGGUGGUAUCAACCCCGCCAGUGCCGAAGCUAACGCGUUAAGUGUCCCGCCUGGGGAGUACGGCCGCAAGGCUA